UACUCCAAGGGUUUUUUUCCCUGAUUUUAUGACACGGGACCUCUAGCUUUUAUAUCUUUACUUAUCUAUAAAACAGGACGUCGGUUUCUGUUCCAACACUUCCAUACAUACAUACUCUGAAUAUACAAGAAGAAGAUGAGAAGGAACAGAGAAAAAUAAUAAGAGUGUCAUGCAUAGCGUGAGACGGAAUG